UUAACUCAAAUUUGUAUGCAGUUGCAACGUUUGCCUGCGUUUGUCGCUAGGGCGCUGUUCCAACUGCAUACAAAUUUGCACUA
rfam:Bombyx mori DNA, contig: Bm_scaf86_contig33812, strain: p50T/Dazao, build 2, whole genome shotgun sequence.